rnacentral:rRNA from 1 species
UGAAAUAGAACCUGAAACCGUGUGCCUACAAGUAGUCAGAGCUCGUUAACGAGUGAUGGCGUGCCUUUUGUAGAAUGAACCGGCGAGUUACGAUCCCAUGCAAGGUUAAGUCGAUGAGACGGAGCCGUAGCGAAAGCGAGUCUGAAUAGGGCGAAUUUAGUAUGUGGUCGUAGACCCGAAACCAGGUGAUCUACCCAUGUCCAGGAUGAAGUUCAGGUAACACUGAAUGGAGGUCCGAACCCACGCACGUUGAAAAGUGCGGGGAUGAGGUGUGGGUAGCGGAGAAAUUCCAAUCGAACUUGGAGAUAGCUGGUUCUCUCCGAAAUAGCUUUAGGGCUAGCCUCAUGUGUAAGAGUCUUGGAGGUAGAGCACUGUUUGGACUAGGGGCCCUCAUCGGGUUACCGAAUUCAGACAAACUCCGAAUGCCAAAGACUUAUCCAUGGGAGUCAGACUGCGAGUGAUAAGAUCCGUAGUCGAAAGGGAAACAGCCCAGACCACCAGCUAAGGUCCCAAAGUAUACGUUAAGUGGAAAAGGAUGUGGAGUUGCUUAGACAACCAGGAUGUUGGCUUAGAAGCAGCCACCAUUUAAAGAGUGCGUAAUAGCUCACUGGUCGAGUGACUCUGCGCCGAAAAUGUACCGGGGCUAAACGUAUCACCGAAGCUGUGGAUUGACACCGUUUGGUGUCAGUGGUAGGAGAGCGUUCUAAGGACUGCGAAGCUAGACCGUAAGGACUGGUGGAGUGCUUAGAAGUGAGAAUGCCGGUAUGAGUAGCGAAAGAUGGGUGAGAAUCCCAUCCACCGAAUGCCUAAGGUUUCCUGAGGAAGGCUCGUCCGCUCAGGGUUAGUCGGGACCUAAGUCGAGGCCGAUAGGCGUAGACGAUGGACAACAGGUUGAUAUUCCUGUACCACCUCUUUUCCGUUUGAGCAAUGGGGGGACGCAGGAGGAUAGGGUAAGCGCACUGCUGGAUAUGUGCGUCUAAGCAGUUAGGCUGAUGAUGAGGCAAAUCCCAUCAUCGUGAAGGCUGAGCUGUGAUAGCGAGCGAAAUAUAGUAGCGAAGUUCCUGAUUCCACACUGCCAAGAAAAGCCUCUAGCGAGGAAAAAGGUGCCCGUACCGCAAACCGACACAGGUAGGCGAGGAGAGAAUCCUAAGGUGAGCGAGAGAACUCUCGUUAAGGAACUCGGCAAAAUGACCCCGUAACUUCGGGAGAAGGGGUGCUCUGGUAGGGUGCAAGCCCGAGAGAGCCGCAGUGAAUAGGCCCAGGCGACUGUUUAGCAAAAACACAGGUCUCUGCGAAGCCGUAAGGCGAAGUAUAGGGGCUGACGCCUGCCCGGUGCUGGAAGGUUAAGAGGAGUGCUUAGCGCAAGCGAAGGUGCGAAUCGAAGCCCCAGUAAACGGCGGCCGUAACAAUAACGGUCCUAAGGUAGCGAAAUUCCUUGUCGGGUAAGUUCCGACCCGCACGAAAGGCGUAACGAUCUGGGCACUGUCUCAACGAGAGACUCGGUGAAAUUAUAGUACCUGUGAAGAUGCAGGUUACCCGCGACAGGACGGAAAGACCCCGUGGAGCUUUACUGUAGCCUGAUAUUGAAUUUUGGUACAGCUUGUACAGGAUAGGUAGGAGCCUUGGAAGCCGGAGCGCCAGCUUCGGUGGAGGCAUCGGUGGGAUACUACCCUGGCUGUAUUGAAAUUCUAACCCGCGCCCCUUAUCGGGGUGGGAGACAGUGUCAGGUGGGCAGUUUGACUGGGGCGGUCGCCUCCUAAAGAGUAACGGAGGCGCCCAAAGGUUCCCUCAGAAUGGUUGGAAAUCAUUCGCAGAGUGUAAAGGCACAAGGGAGCUUGACUGCGAGACCUACAAGUCGAGCAGGGACGAAAGUCGGGCUUAGUGAUCCGGUGGUUCCGCAUGGAAGGGCCAUCGCUCAAC